CCACGUUAAUGUGGGGCAUUGUUAACCAAGGAACAAGUUCCCGGAAAAAAAAAAAAUAUAAGCUACUUUAGUAAGAUUUCCUGCAACAUAUUACCCCACACAUUAAAAUGCAGCAUUGUUUGUAAUUUGUGACCAGGAAGCCACAUCACACAAGCAGAUUUAGAACAAACUAGAGUUUAACAGACCAUCCCCAGCUGGAAGGCCAAACUUUAACCUCUUAAG